GCCAGCAUGGCAUAGUGGUUUGAGUGUGUUGGACUACAACUCUGGGGACCAGAGUUUGAUUCCCUGCUCAGUCA